GACGAACGCUGGCGGCGUGCUUAACACAUGCAAGUCGAACGGAAAGGCCCUGCUUUUGUGGGGUGCUCGAGUGGCGAACGGGUGAGUAACACGUGAGUAACCUGCCCUUGACUUUGGGAUAACUUCAGGAAACUGGGGCUAAUACCGGAUAGGAGCUCCUGCUGCAUGGUGGGGGUUGGAAAGUUUCGGCGGUUGGGGAUGGACUCGCGGCUUAUCAGCUUGUUGGUGGGGUAGUGGCUUACCAAGGCUUUGACGGGUAGCCGGCCUGAGAGGGUGACCGGCCACAUUGGGACUGCGGUACGGCCCAGACUCCUACGGGCGGCAGAAGUGGGGAAUAUUGCACAAUGGGCGGAAGCCUGAUGCAGCAACGCCGCGUGCGGGAUGACGGCCUUCGGGUUGUAAACCGCUUUCGCCUGUGACGAAGCGUGAGUGACGGUAAUGGGUAAAGAAGCACCGGCUAACUACGUG
rnacentral:rRNA from 1 species